rnacentral:rRNA from 1 species
UACAGAGGUCUCAAGCGUUGUUCGGAUUCAUUGGGCGUAAAGGGUGCGUAGGUGGCGCGGUAAGUCGGGUGUGAAAUUUCGGAGCUUAACUCCGAAACUGCAUUCGAUACUGCCGUGCUUGAGGACUGGAGAGGAGACUGGAAUUUACGGUGUAGCAGUGAAAUGCGUAGAGAUCGUAAGGAAGACCAGUGGCGAAGGCGGGUCUCUGGACAGUUCCUGACAGCUGAGGCACGGAAGGCCAGGGGAGCAAACGGG